UCUUGACCCAGAUGUGAGCCAGCAGCACCAGGCACUAGUGGAGAACCAAGAUGGCAUCCUCAUAGGCAUGAGCUGGGGAACCGGAGCAUGGCUGAUGACCACUGCUUCCCUUGACUAGUUCUUAACAGUGACAAGGUGUGAGACGUGACCCAGAGGGCUGGAGGACCAGUUCCGUUGCCCAAAGUGGUGAUGUCCAUCUCCACUACAAUGGAUGAAGAAGGUUCCAACUCCAAAUUAAAAUGUGUUUUAUAAUAAAUGCUGGAAAAGAUUACUCUUGCUUCAAAGUAGGACAUCCUGUAACUAGACACACGUUUCCCAAGGUUUAAAGUUAUACAAUCACUUUGUUAGAAAAUAAAGAAAAAUCUCAA